GUUUUAUUUGUUCCCCCCUCCAAGGUAUGAUGAACCUGGUAGUUUACAGCCAUGAGGUAGCUCCCAGGAAUAGAGGCUACUGCACACUUAUCCUCAAGACACAUACAGUACAGUUAAAAACAAAGCCACGACAGAAAAACAGAUGAUACAGUCAAAAUAAGUGACCAAGGAAAGGGUAUGAAGGCAUACUUGCUUGAGUUGCAUUGUGUUGGUGUCUAAUCCUAAGAAUGACCGAACUACAUUGUUUCCUUUUUAAUGUUUUAAAAAUAUUUUCAAAACUUUUCAGGCAAUAUGUGCACUCCUUUUUUUUUAUUUUUCCUUCUUUUAUUGAAAACUAUGUUCAUGCAAUAUGUUCUAACUACAGUUCUACAGUUUCCCUACUCCCAUGUCCACUGAAAUCAUACCCUUUCUUUCUCUCAUUUGAAAACAAACAAGCAUUAAAAAGAAAUAAAGUAAGAUUAAAAACAAACUGGAAUAUGGGAAAGAAAAGGCACAAGAAACACAUAAAUACAUACAUUCUCACCUCAAAGGUCCCAUAGAAAUACAAAAUUGGAAACCAUAAUAUAUAUGUGAAAAGUCUGUUAAGUAAAAAACAAAAGAACCUCAAAAAAUGGGAUACAAAUCUAAACAGGAAAUUCUUGAGAGAUCAGACAGAAAUAGCUGAGAAGCACUUAAGGAAAUGUUCCUAGUAAGGAAAUACAAAUCAAAACUGUUGCAUUGUUUCUUACAUUUGAGUGUAUCACAUCCAGAAACAGCCCGAUUUGUACCUCAGAAAAACCAAAGCACUUAAGCCAUCAUUGAAAGAUCCACCUUUUUUAUUGACAAAGAAAAAGUCUAAGAGAAACAAAUAGUUUUAUUUAUCAAAAAACAAAUCCUAUAUAUAUUGCACUUGGAUGUAACAUCUUAUGAUUAAGAGAUAUGAGAUAAGAGAAUAGAUGCCCUCUGUAAAGAAUUGAUAUAAGAGGAUAGAUGUCUACCCUCCCUCAAAAAAAAAAAAAAAAA
rnacentral:lncRNA from 1 species